rnacentral:misc_RNA from 1 species
GGGGCCAUGGCAUCCCCACUGAUCCGAGGUCACAUUUCAGAAGUUGGGUGUUUAACGGCUGUGGACGCGCCGCGCUCCCGAUGCGAGUGUGCAAACUACUGCGCAGGAGAGGCUGCGGCGAGACCGCCACUGUAUUUCGGAGACGGCCACCCGCUAAGGGAGGGCCGAUCCCCAACGCCGACCCCCCGGAGGGGUUCGAGGGUUGAAAUGACGCUCGGACAGGCAUGCCCGCCAGAAUACUGGCGGGCGCAAUGUGCGUUCAAAGAUUCGAUGAUUCACUGAAUUCUGCAAUUCACAUUACUUAUCGCAUUUCGCUGCGUUCUUCAUCGAUGCCAGAACCAAGAGAUCCGUUGUUGAAAGUUUUGAUUCAUUUUCGAAACGCCUACGAGAGGCGCCGAGAAGGCUCAGAUUAUAAAAAAACCCGCGAGGGGGUAUACAAUAAGAGUUUUGGUUGGUCCUCCGGCGGGCGCCUUGGUCCGGGGCUGCGACGCACCCGGGGCAGAGAUCCCGCCGAGGCAACAGUUUGGUAACGUUCACAUUGGGUUUGGGAGUUGUAAACUCGGUAAUGAUCCCUCCGCUGGUUCACCAACGGAGACCUUGUUACAUUUUUUACCUUCCAAAAAAGCUAUUAGUCUCCUU